rnacentral:rRNA from 1 species
GACGAACGCUGGCGGCGUGCUUAACACAUGCAAGUCGAACGGUGAAGCGAGUGCUUACACUCGUGGAUCAGUGGCGAACGGGUGAGUAACACGUGAGUAACCUGCCCAUCACUCUGGGAUAAGCACUGGAAACGGUGUCUAAUACUGGAUACGACCAACCCUUGCAUGGGGUGUUGGUGGAAAGAUUUAUCGGUGAUGGAUGGACUCGCGGCCUAUCAGCUUGUUGGCGGGGUAAUGGCCCACCAAGGCGACGACGGGUAGCCGGCCUGAGAGGGUGACCGGCCACACUGGGACUGAGACACGGCCCAGACUCCUACGGGAGGCAGCAGUGGGGAAUAUUGCACAAUGGGCGAAAGCCUGAUGCAGCGACGCCGCGUGAGGGAUGACGGCCUUCGGGUUGUAAACCUCUUUCAGCAGGGAAGAAGCGAAAGUGACGGUACCUGCAGAAGAAGCACCGGCUAACUACGUG